rnacentral:lncRNA from 1 species
CGGCUCACGGCCUCUUCCUCUGUCUUCAAAGCUAGCUGUGGAGCAUCUUCAGAUCACGUGCUCUCCUCUUACUCUCUCUCUCUCUCUCUCUCUUUCUCUCUGUUUCUCUCCACCCACAUUUUCGUCACCACGUCUCUGACACUUUCGCCUCCCUCUUACAAAGCACCUGUGAUUACACUGGACCUAUCCAGAUAAUCCAGUGUCAUCUCCAUUUCAGGACCCUUAGCCACACCUGCACAGUCCCCUUUGCUGUGGAAGAUCACUCAUCACAGGAUUAUAUUUUAAGACGGUCUUUGUUGCUGUCAAUAUCGUCGCGAAACACCACGUAUCGUGCAUCCGCCACACACCCCAGCGAAGAACCACCAGAUGUGUUUCGCCUUUAUUUUCUAUUUUUACUACUGGGAAUUGGAUCUUUUUCCUAUUCUAUUUUCAAACUAGUUGUUUUUAUUCUACAGGACUGCCAUAAUGAGUCCCAUAAGCUGGAUGGCUCUAACACGGUGUUUCAGAGGCGGCAAGCCCGGGGUGAAGGUGUUGGCAGGGUUGGUUCCCUCUGUGGACGGGGAGGGAGGGUCUGCUCCAGGCCUCUCUCCAGCGUCUGCUGGUGGCCGGGUCGUGGGCAUCUCUUGGCUCGCAGAAGCAUCGCCCCUGUCUCUGCCUUUAUCUUCAGGUGGUGCUCUCCCUGUGUGUCUCUGUGUCCAAAUUUCCCCUUUGUAUAAGAACACCCAUCAUACUGGAUCAAGGCCACUUUCAAAAUCUCAUUUUUAAUGGAUCAUUCACAAAGACACUAUUUCCCCAUAAAGUUGCAUUCUGAGGUAUGGGUUGAGGAUUUCAACAUGUGAAUCUGGGGGUGAUGUAUUCCAGCCCAUACUACUUUCCAGUGUUCAUAACUCUAAUUUGUUUUCUUAUUUCAUUGCUUUGUCUUGGACAUUAAGAAUAAUUGUUAAUGACAUUUGCUACAGCAACUAUCUGUGUAUCCCCUUGGAGAGUGAUGGGCCUACCUCACCUUAAAGGGUGGUAUUAGAUAUAGCUUGAGAGAGACCUAUUCCAUACAUGAGAUUUCUAGUUUAUUCAGAGGCUUUUCUUUUCAUUUUAAUCAGGAAUGGAUUUUUUAAACCAAUGUGUUUUCAAUAUUUACUGAGUUUAUGAUUUAUAUUUUGUCAUAGAUUGAACUGUAUUAACACAUAACCUAAAAUAAAAACA